rnacentral:lncRNA from 1 species
GGUUCAGCUGACGGACUUUAAGCCUAAAUUUAUAAAACUCAUCCAGAUGAACAAUGAUGACUUGUAAUUUAAAGUCUAAACGAAAAAAACUCUCAUCUCCAGCUCAUUUUACUACAAGAAAUAUGUACAUUCCUAGCUCACGAUGAACGCUAUAAUAGGAAUUUCAUAGCGUUUUCUCCUCUGCUAUGUCAUCGACAGCCAUUAUAGAUACCAUCAUAGGUACCCUC